rnacentral:rRNA from 1 species
AUUGAACGCUAGCGGGAUGCCUUACACAUGCAAGUCGAACGGAGUGGCGAACGGGUGAGUAAUGUAUCGGAACGUGCCCAGUAGCGGGGGAUGACUACGCGAAAGCGUAGCUAAUACCGCAUACUAUUGGAGCGGCCGAUAUCGGAUGAGCUAGUUGUGUGGGUCACGGCUCACCAAGGCGACGAACCGUAGCUGGUUUGAGAGGACGACCAGCCAAACUGGGACUGAGACACGGCCCAGACUCCUACGGGAGGCAGCAGUGGGGAAUUUUGGCAAAUGGGGGAAACCCGGAUCAAGCCAUCCCGCGUGUGCGAUGAAGGCCUUCGGGUUGUAAAGCACUUUUGGCAGGAAGGCGGUACCUGCAGAAUAAGCACCGGCUAACUACGUGCCAGCAGCCGCGGUAAUUC